CCAUCCUUUAAAGAAAGCGUAACAGCUCACUGGUCUAAACAAGGGUUCCUGCGGCGAAGAUGUAACGGGGCUAAAGAUAUGCACCGAAGCUUAGGGUUCAGAAUUUAUUCUGAGCGGUAGCGGAGCGUUCCGUAAGCGAGUGAAGGCGAAGGGUAACCGACGCUGGACGUAUCGGAAGUGCGAAUGCUGACAUGAGUAGCGACAAACAGGGUGAGAUGCCCUGUCGCCGAAAGACCAAGGGUUCCUGCGCAACGCUAAUCGGCGCAGGGUUAGCCGGCCCCUAAGACGAGCCCGAAGGGGGUAGUCGAUGGGAACCACGUAAAUAUUCGUGGGCCUGAAGAUGUGUGACGGAUCGUGGAAGUUGUUUUCUCUUAUUGGAUUGAGAGGGCAGCCAAGCGGUUCCAGGAAAUAGCCUCUUCACUAUAGACCGUACCCGAAACCGACACAGGUGGUCAGGUAGAGUAUACCAAGGCGCUUGAGAGAAGUAUCCUGAAGGAACUCGGCAAAUUGCCUCCGUACCUUCGGAAGAAGGAGGCCCCAUAUCGACGCAAGUCUUUGUGGGGGGCACAGGCCAGGGGGUAGCGACUGUUUAGCAAAAACACAGCACUCUGCUAAGUCGGCUUCAAGACGACGUAUAGGGUGUGACGCCUGCCCGGUGCUCGAAGGUUAAGAGGAGGAGUGCAAGCUCCGAAUUGAAGCCCGAGUAAACGGCGGCCGUAACUAUAACGGUCCUAAGGUAGCGAAAUUCCUUGUCGGGUAAGUUCCGACCUGCACGAAUGGCGUAACGACUUCCCCACUGUCUCCAGGAUAUGCUCAGCGAAAUUGAAUUCUCCGUGAAGAUGCGGAGUACCCGCGGUUAGACGGAAAGACCCCGUGCACCUUUACUGCAGCUUCAGAGUGGCAUUAGGAAAUUACUGUGUAGAAUAGGUGGGAGGCUUUGAAACAUCGGCGCCAGCUGGUGUGGAGCCAACCUGUGAAAUACCACCCUGUGAUUUUCUGAUGUCUAACCACGCACCGUUAUCCGGUGUUGGGACCCUCUGUGGCGGGUAGUUUGACUGGGGCGGUCGCCUCCUAAAGAGUAAC
rnacentral:rRNA from 1 species